rnacentral:lncRNA from 1 species
GCUUCUUCCAAAUCCUGGAGCCUCUGAAACUGUAAGAUAAUGAAGGCCCAGCGUCCCUCGAGGUGAGGUUGGGACCAUGUGACCAGCCAUGGCCAAUGGGCUCUGAGCAGAAGGACCAUGAGUCGGCUUGCCAACACACUCAGAGGUUGCAUGCCUCCUCCACAGGCCCCUCUCUGCCGUGGGACCCUGGAGGCAUGUCUGUGAGGGCGGCACUAGGAGAUGGGGAACCCGGCCCCCCAGUGACCCUGGAGGAGGGCCCUGACAAUCCGUGUGCUGCUUGCCCUAGAGAGAAAUACGCUGUAGCGCGAUUAAGCUGUGAGAUUUUGGAGGUUUGCUUGUUACUGCGUCACGUCACGGCCCAGCCUCUCCUGACUCGGUGCAGCAGAUAACAAUGGCAGUCAAAGCACCACGUUAUCUGUUCU